rnacentral:tRNA from 1 species
GCCGUCGUGGCGCAGUUCGGUUACCGCGUGCGCUUGGAAAGCGCAUUUCCUUCGGGAUUCCCCGGUUCGAAUCCGGGCGACGGCG